rnacentral:misc_RNA from 1 species
GAUGAAGAACGCAGCGAAAUGCGAUAAGUAAUGUGAAUUGCAGAAUUCAGUGAAUCAUCGAAUCUUUGAACGCACAUUGCGCCCGUCAGUAUUCUGGCGGGCAUGCCUGUUCGAGCGUCAUUACGCCCCUCAAGUCCCCUGUGGCCUUGGUGUUGGGGAUCGGCGAGGCUGGUUUUCCAGCACAGCCGUCCCUUAAAUUAAUUGGCGGUCUCGCCGUGGCCCUCCUCUGCGCAGUAGUAAAACACUCGCAACAGGAGCCCGGCGCGGUCCACUGCCGUAAAACCCCCCAACUUUUUAUAGUUGACCUCGAAUCAGGUAGGACUACCCGCUGAACUUAAGCAUAUCAAUAAGCGGAGGA